UGCCUCAGUAACUGCGAGUGAAGCGGCAAAAGCUCAAAUUUGAAAUCUGUGCCCUCAAGGGCACCGAGUUGUAACCUUGAGAUACGUUUUCGACCGACAGGCCUGCCUUAAGUUCCUUGGAACAGGACGUCACAGAGGGUGAGAAUCCCGUGAACGGUAGGCCUCGAGGCGCAUGAUACGUAUUCGACGAGUCGAGUUGUUUGGGAAUGCAGCUCAAAGUGGGUGGUAAAUUUCAUCUAAAGCUAAAUAUUGGGGAGAGACCGAUAGCGCACAAGUAGAGUGAUCGAAAGAUGAAAAGCACUUUGAAAAGAGAGUUAAAAAGUACGUGAAAUUGUUGAAAGGGAAGCGCUUGAGACCAGACUCAAUCUCCGUUGAUCAACUUCAGUUCUCUGUUGUGCACUCGGCGGCUUUUGGGACAGCAUCGGUUCCCGCGGAGGGACAAAGCCUCAGGAAAUGUGGCACCCUUCGGGGUGUGUUAUAGUCCUCUGGGCAAUGCCUCCAGCGGGGACCGAGGACCGCGCUCCGGCUAGGAUGCUGUCAUAAUGGUCUCCAGCGACCCGUCUUGAAACACGGACCAAGGAGUCUAACAUCUAUGCGAGUGUUCGGGUGGAAAACCCUUGCGCGUAAUGAAAGUGAACGGAGGUGGGAAUCGCAAGACGCACCAUCGACCGAUCCUGAAGUCUUCCGAAGGAUUUGAGUAUGAGCAUAGCUGUUGGGACCCGAAAGAUGGUGAACUAUGCCUGAUAGGGUGAAGCAGGGGAAACUCUGGUGG
rnacentral:rRNA from 1 species